CCCCAUUCCCCUAACCCUUAUUCACGCAGCAGCGGCGCUCCCCUCUCUCCCUAACCCUAAUGUACUCCUCCUCCAUCCUUCUCACACUGACACGCAGGACGGCAGCAGCGGUGGUGGGUUCGUUGUCGCUUUCAUGGCGCCUUCGCGAGUCCCAGCGACCGCGCUCUUCUCCUCCUUCUCCAUCCUUCUCACGCAGGAGUAGUGGUCGUUCUUCGCUGGCGCUCUCACUCUCGCUUCCAAUAACACUCGUUAGUCAACCUCUCUCACAACCCCUCCGUCGGUGCUCCCUCCGCCAGAGAAAGGAAGAGAUUAAUGCGACACUUGAUUCCGAUGUUCCUAUGGUUCCCGCCGGCCAGCCCUCCAGCAGCGCCGCUGGCCCUUCCACCAAGAAGCCCAAGCUCUUCGAGAUCAAGAAGUGGAACGCUGUUGCUCUAUUGGCUUAGGGAACCACAUCAUGGAUCUCUGUAUCGAGUGCCAAGCUAAAUCAAGCUAGUGCAACUAGCGAGGAAUGCACUGUGGCUUGGGGUAAUGUUUCGGUACCA